rnacentral:rRNA from 1 species
UAGGGAAUAUUAGCAAUGGGCGAAAGCCUGAACUAGCAACACCGCGUGUGCGAAGAAGGCCUUCGGGUUGUAAAGCACUUUUUGAGAGGAUGAGGAAGGACGGUACUCUCAGAUAAGUCUCGGCUAACUACGUGCCAGCAGCCGCGGUAACACGUAGGAGGCGAACGUUAUCCGGAUUUACUGGGCGUAAAGCGCGUGUAGGUGGUACUGUAAGUAGGGCGUGAAAGCUCCUGGCUCAACUGGGAGAGGCCGUUCUAAACUACAGAACUAGAGGAUGGUAGAGGGAGGUGGAAUUCCAGGUGUAGCGGUGGAGUGCGCAGAUAUCCGGAGGAACACCAGUGGCGAAAGCGGCCUCCUGGACCACUCCUGACACUCAGACGCGAAAGCUAGGGUAGCAAACG